AAAACAUAUCCAACAUCUACCAUAAAUUAAUUUCAAAAUUUACAUGAUAGGUGCUGACGUCACUCAGGAUGAGAAAUUAAAGUGUGAUUUUCUCAGAAACUAUGGCACAUAUCAAAUUAAUUUAACAAACAGACACACUUAUGACAAUCAAAAAUUAUAGCGCAGGAUUCCUUAAAAUUCAAAUGAUAUGUGAUUUUGGAUUUGUCCUCCCCAUUGACUCACAUUCAUUUUUGCACUUUCUGCACUUUGAGUGCCCCCACUUGACUAUCUGAGUGGCAUAUCUUCCCUUUCGGGAAAUUAUGUUUGAGCUUAGGUUAACUGAAGGCAUGCCUGCCAGUCUAGUUAAAUAUGCAUGCCUAUGGCAUGGUCUAAGGUCGCUCUCCUUGGAAACUCCACCCCCUUGAGUGAUUGCUAGUGACACAAAUUGUUUUAUGUGGGUUAGCUAUGUGUGGUGUUGUUCGAUAUGCAUGUAGAUUAAUAUUAACUAUGAUAGAACAAUAGCUUGACAGCAAACAAUAGCAUUCUUCAGAAGCAAGGCUGAUGUUGACUCUUGUUUCCAUGGUCAUUUAUCAGUCAAUUUUAGAUAUGGAUAAUGGGGUUUCAAUCAAUCAAUCAAAUUUUAUUUGUAUAGCAUAUUUUACUGCAGUUUCUUGGGUCGAGUGCUGGUUGGGCUCAGCUGGCUCUCUGGUGGAGCCAUGCGCUUAACAACAAAGUCAGCCAUUUCUUCACUAUAACUCUAACUGGCAACUGGGCAUUUUAUUUGUGAGCAAAGGUGAAUGUGCUACUGUUCAGGAGAAUUGUUGGAGGCGGUAACCCCAGUAUCUGAUGUCACAGACCGACAUAAAAACAACAAGGCUUAGGCUGCAGAUUGUAGAAUUCAGUCAAUAUAAUUGCUUUGAGGAUAACUUUUUUUCUGCAAGCUCUAUGGAUGUAUUAUUUGCAAAAAUUAUUUGUCUAUGUUAAAAAGCUAGAUAUAACACCUUUAGAAAUAAUACACAAAACACAUGACUGAAAAUCCUUUCAUAUGCAUGCGCACAUUUACUCGAGAUAGCGACACAGGGAUAUAUUUUUCAUCAGGGUGUUACUUGCUGAAAAAGUUCCUUAGUUUAACUGUAUUCAUUCAUAUCAUAAAGUGAACAUAAAAGUAGCUGGUUUAAAUUAAAAUGGAAUUCACCUUCACAGCUGGGUACACGGUCACUCCAUCCCUCUGACAUACAUAGUCGUGUGUUAGAUCUGCCCACCAGCAUGUAGCUAUAAACGCAAAUGAAUGGAUGCUUGAAUGAAACCAUACCAUGUUUUACCCACUUACCGGUGACACACGCUUGUACUUCUAAGGUCAGAAUUUCAAAGUAGUCUACCCGUCGUAGAAUUAAAUGUUAACUUGCAUAUUGGUGUUGGUGGAUUUAAAAAGGAAAAUCAUGGGAAAAGAUGAAAAAUCAAAAACGAAGAGCUACCAUUCUAUUGCUUCUUUUAUAAAAAAGACGGGUAUAUUUCAUAACGUAUUUCUUUGUUACAUGCUUGCAAACACAAAUAACAGCAAAGUUUUAAGUUGUAAAUAAUGGCCAAGCUACAUACCCUUCGUUGCAGGUGUAUUUAAUAACCGUACCAAACACAAAGUCUGUACCAUUCACGAGGCUGUAGUAACCAUUGACAAUGUCCUCGGGAAGUUCACAUUGCUUUGCUAAAAUAAAAAUUAAAAGAAUACAUUUUAGAGUAUGUCAGUUUAAAACUACACUAAUUCUUAAAGCGCGCGCGCACACACGCACGCACACACACAGAAAUACAAUCGGAGGACACAGGGACAAGACUCACGUGAACAUUUGGUCUGGCGGUUUAUUGUCCAGCGCCGAUCGUUACAUUUGUAGGUAAUUUUCCUGCUAGAUACAUAUCCAACUCUGCAAGUGAAGUGAAUCAAGUCUCCAUCGGUGUAAUUGGUUUUUAAAGAGCUAUCCAGAACGUCAGCAUUCUCAACGACUGGAAGGCGAGGGCACCCUGUCAAAAUGGAUGGAGAGCUACAUGAGUUCAAUACUUAUGCCACAUCUGAAACAACUCCUAUUCCGAUUACAAGCAUUAAAAAAAUAAAGACAUGCUUUGCGAUUCUUCUUUCUAUUUUGUUUUAUUAUUAUUAUUAUUAUUAUUAUUAUUAAUAAUAAUAAUAAUAAUAAUAAUAAUAAUAAUAAUAAUAAUAAUAAUAAUAAUAAUAAGAUGGUUCAUUUUCCAGCAGACUGAGGGAACUUGAAUUACAGACACUUUGGAAAAAGGAAUAGGGCAAAAAAAUGGGAAUCAUUUCUCAUUUCGAUGGCAACAUAUAGGGUUUACCUAAUAUCAGAAAAAAUAUAUUGCGGUCCUCCCUACUUAGCCUAUGUUGGAAAUAAUACAAAUAGUCUACGUCCAAGAAUUAUUGCAGUGCACUGCUAAUACAUGAUUAAAGGAAACUGGAAAAAACAGUCGCUUAAAAUCUGUCCGCAAAAAUCAUUUAUUUUAUUUUAUUUAAAUAUAAAAUAAAAAUAAAUCUUACCAUUUUCCAGUGCAUCAAUACAUCUCCAUAUAGUCAACCAGAAAAGCACAUGAAUUGGUUUCAUUUUCUUUUUUGAAGUCAAUUCGUUGUACGUUCGAACAAGUGGAACAGGCUUCAGUCACAGCUUGGCAGAAUCGUCUGUAAGAAAAACCAUUUGCCAAUUUUCGAAA